rnacentral:ribozyme from 13 species
UAAGGAAAAAUUGUUUUCAUUUUCCCAUUUUCUUCCUCUUUUUUCUCUUCUUUUUUCUCUCCUUUUUUCACAAUUUUUUCUUCUUUUUUCCCACUUUUGUGAGACUUUUGUGGGGGAGAAGAGGGAAAGAGAAGUUGUUGAAGCGG